rnacentral:rRNA from 1 species
UCCGUAGGUGAACCUGCGGAGGGAUCAUUACACAAUACAAUAUGAAGGCUGUCCGCAGCUGGAGUAUUUUAUUACCCUUGUCUUUUGCGCACUUGUUGUUUCCUGGGCGGGUUCGCUCGCCACCAGGACCACCAAAUAAACCUUUUUUAUGCAGUUGCAAUCAGCGUCAGUACAAACAAUGUAAAUCAUUUACAACUUUCAACAACGGAUCUCUUGGUUCUGGCAUCGAUGAAGAACGCAGCGAAAUGCGAUACGUAGUGUGAAUUGCAGAAUUCAGUGAAUCAUCGAAUCUUUGAACGCACAUUGCGCCCUUUGGUAUUCCAAAGGGCAUGCCUGUUCGAGCGUCAUUUGUACCCUCAAGCUUUGCUUGGUGUUGGGCGUUUUUGUCUUUGGUCGCCCAAAGACUCGCCUUAAAGUGAUUGGCAGCCGGCCUUUCUGGUUUCGCAGCGCAGCACAUUUUUGCGCUUGCCAUCAGCAAAACGCAAUCCAUCAAGCCUCCUUCUCACGUUUGACCUCGGAUCAGGUAGGGAUACCCGCUGAACUUAAGCAUAUCAAUAAGCGGAGGAA